rnacentral:lncRNA from 1 species
GCUGGGAAAAUAGUAGAGGACUGUGUAACUGUGGACAUGGGGGACUGUGAAUAUGAUGAUUCUUGACUGCCAUGUAAUUGCUGCGAGCUGCAUUGUUUAACAAUGUAUCUGAUCUUUAAUGGGUAUGUUUUGUUUUUCAAAUGAAAUGUACUGAUGUUGAAAAGUUUCCAACUUUCUCUCACUCUUCCCCUGUUUUUCUCUGCCAAACCAACAGAGCAUGCAAAGAAAAAAAAUGUUCCUGGUUCUCUUGUUAUGCUUCUUCUGUUGUUGAUCCUCAAACUUCAAAUUGGUGUUCUUUGUUGUCAUGCGGUUCACAUGAUCUUCAUUGAUUCUCGGUUUAGUCACAAAAUUUGAAAGGAUUAAAAAUGGAAUUUUCCCUUUUUGAAUUUCUGAAUUCUCAGGUUUAGUUUCUAUUUAACUGUUUAGUUUCUUUUCUCUUGUUUGGAGCAUAAGGCCCGUCUGAUGCAUAAAAAAGCACACAUUCCUUGCUACGCACAUUACCCAUUGCCUCACCUCAUUACCCACUGCUUCACCUCACUGCUUAUUCUCUUAAGUCAAACACACAUAAAACUCGCACAUUCAUUCACACUGCAUAAUAGAAUUGACCCCAGAUUUCCUUUAAUUACUUUUAUGUGCUUUCAAAAUCAAUUGUAUAAUUAUUUUAUCAAUAUUAGGUAUACAAGUUCUGCUUCUAUAUCAGUUAAGUAUUUUAUCGAUACUUUUAAAGAAUUCAGUUUCAAAAAAAUAAAAACAAAAAGAAAUAGAUGUAAAAUGAAUCAAUGGUGGUUUGAGAUGAAUGCACAAUAAAAGUAUAGUCCCGGUGGAUUUUCGAUUAGAUAAAGUUAAUUAAAUUAACAAAUUUGACUCAAUCUGUUUUAAGGUUUUCUUCUCCUUAAGUCGAAUAGAUUUUUUCGAAAGUUAAUUUCUCUUUUUCUUAAAAAUCAUUUCAAAGAUAUUUUUUAUGCUUUUCAUUUUUAUCUAUCUUUUUAUUAUUAUUACAAUUUAAUGAUAAAAAAUAUACUACUAUAAAAACUUUAAAAUGAUUUUUAAAUUUAAAAAAUUAUAAAAUUAUCAAACGAUUCUAAUUUUUUUUACUUUCAUUUCAAAUUUAAAAUAAAUUUUUAAAAUCUAAAAAAUAUAACAUUAAUCGAGUUUAGUCACAGAAUUUGAAAGGAUUAAAAAUGGAAUUUUCCCUUUCUGAAUUUCUGAAUUCUCUGGUCUAAGAAGCUUUGGGAUUUGGGCUUAUUGCUAUAUUCUGAAUGUUCACACCUUCACAUUGCAUCAUUCUUUAAACAUUUUGGCUUUGUUCAAUGUGAGAUUAUGCAAUUCUCUAUUAGUUUUCUCUGAAAUGUCUAUGGAGAUCUGCGCUUGUUAAUGUGAUUGGGUUGUGUUACCUUCUUUGCCUGCAAUCCAUAAUUCGUUAUAAUUGUUUUUGGAGUUUAGCCGUUUCUGAAACGCAAGUUUAAAAUUAAUUUUAUUAAAAUCAAUUCAUUAUAAUUUAAAACAUUAAAAAAUGGAGCUUAAUUCUGGUUUAUAAUUAUAUGUUGGAGUAGAAUUAAUUCUCACUUUUCCUUGCUUUAAAUAUUUACUUAAUAUACGAAAGAACUUUAAUCCAUUUGUAAUUUAACAUAAUUUUUUUUCAUGAUAUGUUUGCCACUAUUUCAUGUUAGUUAAGGUUUGAGUUACUUUUUAUUCAUUUUACAUUAUGUUAAUUUUGUGACAGCUUCGAUCACAAUCUAUGAAAAAGAUUCAAUAUGCCUUACAUAAUAAUACUCAAGUGGAAGGGGUUUGAACUUAUUAGAACUUUUGGUUGCCUUUGUUUGUCACUAUAUACAGUUAUUAGAACUUUUGGUUGCCUUUGAAAUGCGUAUGCUAAAUUUCUGAGCAUCUCUUUAAAUCUUGUAAUUUAUAAAUAUGCAUUAAAGCUCAAUGCGAUUGCUUAAUUUCUGAAAUGCAUAUGUUGAAUUUAGUGUAGUUUUGCCUCUGAAAUAUGUAUGAUAAAUUUCAGAGCACCUCCUUAAAUCUUGUAAUUUCUAUAUAUGCAGUAAAGCUCAAUGUGUAUGCUUGAUUUCUGAAAUUUUUAGUAAGUAAAAUAACAUACUACUUGUUGUUUAUCAUAACUACAUUUAGCAUUUAUCAUACUACUUGCUAUUUGGAAAAACUUUUUAUGAUAUUAGGGUUUGUUUUUCUUUUCUUUUCAGGAAAGUAAUGAAAGAUAUUAGUUUUUCACUAAAAGGAAUUUGUCCUAUUCCUUCACCAAUUAAUCAAACUCCUUCACCAUCACCAAACGAUUAGACUCUUUCACCAAUUGAUCAGGCUCCUUCACCUAUUCAAGCUGAUCCUACUCUUUCUCCUUCACAUAUUAAUGUUGAUCCUACUCCUUCACCUCUUGAAGAUGAAGUUAAUAAUGUGGAGGCGCAAGGAGGAAUUUGUAGGCUGAAAAGUAAGAUUUGGCAUCAUUUAAAAAAAAUUAAAGUAAAUGGUAUGGACAAAGGCUAAAUGCAAGUAUUGUAAGAAACUUCUUAGUGGAAAAUAAAAAAAUGUAACCAAGCAUUGGUGGCAGCUGUUCAUUUUCCCAUAUGGUUCCUUUUUCUGCAAUUUUUAACAAAUAUAUUCAUGGGAAAUGAAAUAUCAGAAAGCGCACCGAGUCGUCAAGUAUUUAAAAUUAUAACAGAGUGAUCCGAGUAUCGAACCCAGGGAACUUGCUUAUUAGACAAAGUUUUAUUCAAAAGUAAGGCAUUGUUGGAACAAACAUUGAUAAUUGAUGGUUAAAAACAGAAAUAAACUAAUUCUAUGGUAAAAACAAUAAAUGCAAUUAAGUAAAAGUUGACAGCAAUAGGUAAAAAACGUUGGGUCUUUCUAACAAAUGAGUUGAUGCAUAUGAGGAUAUUUCUCUAAUGAAUCAUGUUCUUGUGUUCUAUUUUGUAGCCUAAAGUACUAAACCUCGAUCCCUCGUAAGUUUAGACUAAUUUAACCUAAGCUUCAUCCGCAGAUCCUUCUUGUAAGACUAGGCUUAACUUAAAUAGCAUUAUCAUCACAACAUAUUCAGAAAACCAAAACCCCACAACCAUCCCUGGUAAUGUAGUUAUUUAGUCCUGCUUCUAUCAAGUCAUAAGGCAACAAUAUAUUUCCCAAUGCUAAAGUCACCUAACAGUACACACAAAUGGGUGAUUAGGCCAAGAGCAUGUAGUAAUUAAGCAUUGAAAGAAUCAUUGAACACACAAAACACAAUUAAUUAGAUAUUAAAGAUAAUUACAUCAACUGUUCCUUAGAAAUUCCCAACUAGGGUGUUCAGUCAGCCAUACACAGAAACCCUAACACAAAUGAGAUAGAGAGUACAAAAUAAUUGUUGCUUACACAAGAAGGAGGAUCCUUCCUCCUCUUCUUGGCACCUUACAAUCACUCUAACACUCACUAAUCUCUCUAAACAUAUAGAACCCUCGGCUUCUCUGCACAGCUGCUCCUCUUUGUUGCCUCCAAAGUCUCUCUCGAAUUCUGAGCCAAAUAUUGUACUCUGGAAAUUCUGUUGUGUCUCUCUGUACCCUAAUUUUGACAAUUCAGGCUUAAAUAAGCUCUGAAAUUGCAAUGUCGCGCUUAGCGCCUAGCAAGAGACAAACGUCUUGUUUAGCAAGCUGAUCUCGCGCUUAGCGCGCGGCCUUGAUUCUUGUGCUCUUCCAGAUUCCCUUGUCACGCUAAGCGCGCUGAAGCUGCGCUUAGCAGUGGAUGCGCGCUGAGCCCACAGGGUCUGCUUAGCAAGACUGCUCCUUUUAGCACUUCAAGAUUUUAGUCUCUUUUGACCUGAAAUUAUGCAAAUUUUAUCAUUAAAUCACACGGGAGAUACUCUAAAGACAACUAUUAAAACAAAACAAGAUUUAUAUACAAAUUCCUACAAAAUAGCUAUAAAUUGGGGAACUAUACAAGUUUUAGAAAAUGUUUUCUAUACAAAAGUUAGUCGUAUAAGAAGACUAACAAACUCCCCCAAAUUUACAGAUUUGCUUGUCCUCAAGCAAAGAAAGAACAGUUCACUUGUCCUCAAGUGACAAAAUACAGUGGUUAAUCAAAGUGGUGAUUGUUUCACAGAAAAAUUUAAUCAUAUGAAAUGAAUAUCAUGGAAUGCUUCAAUCAAUGUCACUUCACAAAACAUGCAGCUUUUCAAACAUAGGAACAUAUGUACUAGAGUCACAAUUGAAAUAAGCUAGUAAGAAUGACAGAUAUCAAGGAAGGAUCAUUAACCAAAGCCUCACAGUCAUUAUUUCACUCAAGCACAAGUGUUUAGGCUCAUUCCAUCAUAAACAACUAUCACAAGUCCUAACCUUUGCAUUUCAUCUCAUACCAUAUAGAAAUAAACACACAAAAUGAAUCCGAAGGACUUUCCAGGCUUGUAAUGAGGUCGGGCUGCCAACAAAUCAUGGCUUUUCUAAGAUUCAAAAGCUUAAGUUCUAGGAGAGCAUUCAUCCAUAGAUCAACCUUUACUUUUUUUUUUAAUUUAAUUCACAAUCCAAUACUUGCCUCUUUUUAGGAACUUAGCUUCAUUUAAUUGAUUUGCAACACACACACUUUUAUACACUUUUAUUUAUACUUAAGAUUUUUUUAACACACAAAACUGUGUGUAUCUGCUGCUCUGUUUUGACCAUUUUAUUUCUUACCCAGUGUCUCCCCCAAAUUUGGUACAAAUUUGCUUUGACAUAUAACUCCCCCAAAUUUGGGACAAUUUUGCCUUGAACCAAGCUUUUUUUGUGGAUGAUGUCGUCCUACAACCUAAGACAAGCACUAUUAGAAAAUACACUUUCAACAUCGGUUAUUUAGAACAUUCUACAUCGGUUCUAAAACCGAUGUUGAAAUUGCCGAUGUUGAAUGUAUCAAUGUUAACAUCGGUUUUGUAAAACCGAUGUUAACAUAUAUAUGACAACAUCGGUUCUCUAAAUACCCGAUGUUAAAUACAAUGAACAACAACAAAAAAAGUGUACGCAUGAUGAAUGCUGACAUCGGUUUUGCAGUAAAACCGAUGUUAAUAUGUUAUAUUAACAUCGGUUUUCUAGAAAAACCGAUGUUAAUUUAAUAUAUUAACAUCGAUUUCCUACGAUAACCGAUGUUAAUAUAUUCCAUUAACAUCGGUUUUGGUAGAAAACCGAUGUCAACAUUGAUGAUGCAUACACUUAUUUGGUGUAGUUCUUUGUGUAUAACAUCGGUUAUGUUUAGAUAACCGAUGUUAAUAUUCAAAUGUUCACAUCGGUUAUUUAUAACUAACCGAUGUUAAUGUACAAGAGUUGACAUCGGUUAUCUACAGAUGAUCGAUGUUAAAAUACAAAUGCUGACAUCGGUUAUACACAAAUAACCGAUGUUAAUAUACAAAUGUUAACAUCGGUUUUCUAUUACAACCGAUGUUAAGGUUCAUGUCGACAUCGGUUUUUGUAAAUAACCGAUGUUGUUUAUGAUAUUAACAUCAGUUUUUGUUAAUAACCGAUGUUGUUUUCAAGUAUUUUUUUAUAUAUACUUUCUGUUUUUACAGUAAACCCAAAAUUGUAUCUGUCAAAUGCAAUUUCAGGCCCAAUUCACAGCAAAUAAACAUUUUAUUCUGCUUUCAAGCAGUUUUAAUGAUAAUAAACAUCAAAUAAUUGAUUUAUCAUAAAGAACAAUCAUCAAAUGAAUUCAAUGUUCAUAUUACAUAGAAAAUUUCAAAAAUGUUAAACCAAAGUAAACUAAGGAAAAAACCACUGUCCCUAAAUCCUAGGCCUGAUCUGUAACUCGGAGAUAAAACUGUGCCCACUGGAUCCGCAAUGCCUUUAAUCUCUCUGGCUUCAAUGGUCUAGGAUCAUUAAAAUACUGCAUGAUGAAAUAAGUCAUAAUAAGUUAAUAAUGUAAUAGAAAUUAUAAAUAAAUCGAUUUUGUUUGAAAUAAACUUACCGCUUCCCAAUUAUUCCUAAAAGUUCCUAAAAUGAUGGUGGACAUCCAGUGCAUCAUAUAGUAGCCACACUUAGUACUUCCUUUUUGUCUAUUACACUAAAUACAUAAAGAAAUUUGGAUAUUAAUUAAACAACUAGUGUACAGAUACAUAAAGAAAUAUAUAUAAGUGGAAGUUUGAUGUAAAUGACGUACCUUGACGACAAUCCACCUAGCAGAAGCCUUUGAUUUAGGCUGUGGAGCAUCAUCAAGACCUUUUAAAGCACUGUUCCAGAUGAGUAACAAUUAAAAACUGGUGUUGUACGUUGAGGUAUUACAAUGCAAAUGUAUUGAAAAGAACACUAACCUAUUAAUAAUCCCCUUAUAGUACAUUAUAUAUUGGCCUGUUAUGCAAUGAACAAAACCAGACAACUAGGUGUUCCUUGGGCAGGAUGACCACCAUCUGCCAGUGUCCGCUGCAGUGGAACCUAAAAUGGGUUAGUAUAUUAGUAAACAUUAAUUAAAUUUAGUUAUUUUGUGACUUACCCAUUUAGGUAGGCUCCAAGAUAGACAUCGCAUUGUGAACUCUGCAUCCAACUCUUUAUGUAACUUUAAGACACAAACUGCGAUUGCCCAGACCUCUGAAUGGACUGUGGCUCGAGGAAUCCAUGGAUAUCAGAAUUCCCCACUCGCAUACAUGUUUCAGUGAGAUGCCUGUUUAUGUUAAGUCAAAGUUAAAUAUUUAUGAAUUGAAAACAAUAACUUAGGUAAUUAAAAGUAAUAUAUAAUGACUUACAGAAUCCACAACUGUAACACUGAUAUGCUGAGACAUUGACCACCGUGUGCGAUUUUGGAGAGGUCUUCGUGCUUUAUGUAGAGGGGGAAAUCUGGAUUAAAGACCCCGAACACAGUGGCAUCCCAUCUAACCUGAUAAGGCCUCAAGAAAAGCUCUGGGAUGGUCAAUGUCAUCAGAUAAAGCGGAUCAUCGACCUCCGGAUCGGGCUUCGGAGGUGGUUUUGCCGGAGGCACAGCUACCUGUUCAUGAAACAAAGUUAAAUAGGCUAAUUUGAGGCACGCUUAAUGAAUUAAUUUAAAAAGAAGAAACAUAUAGUAAGGACAAUAAGUACCUGCUGUGAUAAAGACUUGACCAAAUGUGUCGGCCAAGCAAGGAAGGUGUGAAGUGCCUGCCCCACUAAGGAAACCUCAUCAGUGGGUACAGGAACUGGAGCAUCUGCAUCUGUAACCUCCUCCACACUCACCUUUACUUGGCCAGGCAAUAAAUGAGUGUUAUGAACAACAGUGGAUCCCUCAUAAACUCUCCCCACGGCAACCUGGCGGGCAGGAUCUGCUUCUAUGUACAAGCCACACCUGUCAGAGUCACCCGUAUCAGGAUCGUUUCCUAAGGGAUCAACACAACUCCCCUUUGUGCUCACUUGAGGACUAGAGGCUCAGGAGGCACUGCAAGUCCCUGAGAUUGCAUCUACGACUGAAGCUAGGACUGCAUGUGGCUGAAGGAUGCCAUGACCUGCCUCAUCGCUUUCUCUGUGAUGGACUCCUCUAGUUGGUCCCUGAUCUGCUGGGUCAGCUGCUGCAAUUCGUUAGGAGGCAGGGAGGAAGCGCUGCGGGACAUCCGUGGAGCCGAUCUAAAGUAUUGCUUGAUGGUGACACCGGCUCCAGCAGCACGGACACGUCCAGGGUGCUCUGGACGUCCAAUAGUAGCGGCCAGAACAUCCUAACGUCCAUGGGGGACGAACGAUCCCUGUGUGGCCUGCUCCUCAAAUGAAUCCUGCACAGAAAACACACAGUGGUACAUGGCAUUCUCAAAAUAUUGAAAUAUAAUUGUAAUGGUUAGUUGAAAAUGACUUACAAUCUUCUCAACGAUUUCCUUUGCGGCCUCAGUCGUCAUCUCCCCUAUCUUCUUCGUGCGGGCCAUCUUCCACUUCACGUGGCGUCUGACCGGGGAUGGAGGGUCGAUGACACCAUCAACGCUUCCUGACUGUGCAACUUCCUCCAGCUUCUUCUUCGUCUUCUCAGCCAGGAGCUUCUGCUCCAAAUAAUCAUAACCCCCACGAGACAAAAAGUGGGGGGCAGUAUUCUGCUUCUGGAUGGCCUGUGCCUUCUUGCGCACAUCCUGAAAAAAUUAAACAAUAAUGUUUGAAAUGGGUAGAAUGAAGUAUAACAACAUCAUGUUUAAUAUGAAAAACAACUUAAAUGGCAGGGAACAUACCUCCCAAGAAGGGUCUCUGCGAGUCUGGAAAAACUGGGCCCACUUUUCCUUGCUGAUGCCAUAUUUCUCACAGACAGUGUCCUCGACACCGUCCUGAUCGGCUGCAAGGGCCCAUUUCCUCAUGAGGUCUGAUUUAAACUGCCUCCAUCUCUCCCCUACAGUCUGUAGUAACUUCCUUUUCGUCCUACUGUCAGAAGCCUCUGGGAUACAAAUUCCGUCUGACAACAUCAAAUAAAGUUUAUUUGUUACAAUAAUAUAUUUUUUGGCUAUUAAUUAAACAAAAUCAAAUAAAAAAAGAAAAAUACCUGAAUAUCCUCCCAAAUUAGGUCCUUCUGAGCAGUAGGGACCUCCUUCUAGUUCUCGUAGGUGACGUCCACCUUAUCACGUGCCACAAUCCCCAAAUAUGUUCUUAAUUUCUUCCUGUGGGGACCGUCAGCCUUCCCGGUAGCAGGAUCAACAUGCACCACUGGUCUCUCAGCACCAGGUGGUCUAAUGGACAACGAUCGUAGACGUGAGGCUUUGCGUGUCUGCUUCACGGCAGACGGUGAAGCCAAUGCGUCCGAAGAAGGAGGAGUGGAGGCAGGUGGAGAACCCAUGAUCUUUUAUACAAUAACAUACAACAACAUACAAAAUAGGAUUAAUCAAAAGAGGAUCAGUCAUAAGUUUUUUUUGGAAGGCAAAAGUAUAAUAUUAUUAAACAAAACCCCACUACAGAAGGAGACAAGACAAAUUAACCAAAGGACUCCGAAAGAUUGGUAGUUGUGCUUUUUAAUUGUGAUUUAGGGAAACCAUUUUAUAAAAAGUCUAUUACAUGUAAUCAACAGUCAAUGUAUGCUUGAUGGAAUAUAAAUACUAUAUCUUCAGAAAUACACAUGUACAUGGCAUCCUUAGGACUUCAUCCAGCUGAUGUUUGUCGCCAGUUUCAUCAUCCACCAUCCUUUUCUUCUCUGCCUUCUCACGUUUGUUGUUGUUAAACCCAUAUUUAUGCCUUCUUCCCUUCAUGUUGAAUCUCAGGGAAGAAGGCAUAAAUAUGGCCUGUCUUCAACACAGUUGAAUCUCCUGUCUUAUUCUCCAAUGACACACUUUGAUGGCCUGUAUCUCUUUUCUUCAUAUGUUCUAGUGGUUCAGCUUCAGAAUGCAUAGAGCAAUCAAAAUUUUCCAGUGAUCACCAAAGGCUUCUGCAUCAGCAUUGGCACUCUCUACCUUCUUUGGUUUAUGCUUUUGUGUUGCAUUCCGUGCUUCCUCCUUAUAAUUCUCAGAUUUAUUGGAGGUCUCACUAGAAGGAUCAACACCAAUCUGUGCCUGUUCCUCCUCUAGCAGCUCAAUAUCUUUCGUUUCACCUUUGAUUUUGAAAUUCUGAUACUGGGGACAGAUGUCGUACAGGAUGUCACGACAUCACGCUUCAGAACAUGCAGAUUGUAUAUGACCGUAUGAACAGAUUAAACAAGUAAAUAACACAAGUGAAUUGUUAACCCAGUUCGGUGCAACGUCACCUACAUCUGGGGGCUACCAAGCCAGGGAGGAAAUCCACUAAAAUAGUAUUAGUUCGAAGAUCUAACAACCACUGUAUACAACCUUCUCACCUAACCACUACCCGUGCAACUUCUACCUAAGAGCCACUCUUAGAUAAGAGAACCCCUCUCACUCCCUCUCAAUCACUCACCCGUGUUUACAAACAAAUCAAAGAUACACCAGAGAUUGCUCUCUGAACAAUAGAGAUCAACUCUACACACUCAGGUCCAACACUUGAUGUUAGGGUAGCAUCAAGGUGGCUCACAAAACACUCAAGUCCCAAAACUCACAAAAUAACUCUUCAAUCUCGGACUUGGUAGAAAACUCGUGCAACCUUCAUGUUUAUAUAGCAGUGUGCGUAUCUGGACUGCAACAACUUGCGCUGGAUAAGAUCUAUCAUUCUCCUGAAGAAUCUGCACUUAAAGAUCUAAAAGAUAAAGUUUGAUCUUUUAGUUUUUAUCUUUAAUCUUUAAUCCCUGAACGAACUAUUCAAGUUUGUAAUUCGAACUUUAAUUAUCUUUUAAUUCGUUCCUAAAGAUAGAUCGCCUAAUCUGUUGCUGACUGCACAUUAAUCUGUUAAAGGUAUAACAGAUUUAUGUGUCCAGUAUUUUCGGGUAGGAUGUCCUGGACAUUGUAUCCGACAUCGUGGAUCCUGCAGCUUCAAUUCUUCAUUUGACAUUUUAUCUUGCCUUGUGCAUUGUGUAGCCCGAUCUGAUUCCUUGACAUAAUGUUAGACAUCAUGUGCAGCAACUCCAGCUUUCCUUCAUUGUCUAAGUGCUUAUGUUUUAACAAAAUUUUAGCCAAUCUUUUAAAACUCAGUAAAGCUAAGCACUAACAAUCUCCCCCUUUGGCAAAUUUUGUCUAAAACAUACUUAGACACUUCCUGAGCAGGUACGAGCAGUUAUGCAAGUGGGAUCAGCAACUUUCAUUAUCAGAGUAAUCAAGCACCGCGGUAUCUGUAGUGGCGAUAGCAAAAUUCUGCAAGUUGCAAGUCGUUUCCAGGAUGUCAAGACAUCUCACGUGACAUCAGCUUUCUGCUCCCCCUGUCUCCAUGCUCCUACUGCUGUGAAGCAGUUCACUACGGCAUCUUCUAUCAGCUACUAGUUUUAGUAGCUUACAUCAAUCAUCAUCAGCAGCAGUAGUAUAAAUACUACUCCCCCUCAAAAUCAUAUAACUACUACUCCCCCUCAAAAUCAUAAAUCAUGCAUAAUAUAAUAUCCUACUACUCCCCCUUUUUAGACAGAAUUUGGCAAAAGUAGAAUACAUGAAAUUAAUGUGCACAUAUUACAGACCAAUAACUAGUAAAAGUAAAAGCAAAAAUAAAGGUCUGAUGGUCAUGGGGUGGCAUCAGAAUCAUCAUCAUCUGACUCUGUAUCCUCUGCUGCAUCUUCUUCUUCCUCAGCUGCUUCUUCUUCUUCCUCAGCUGCUUCUCCAUCAUCAAUGCCACUGUCUGAGAGUCUUUUGAUCAGGCGUUCCAGCUCCAUUUUCUUCUCUGUGGUGGCUUUGAUGGUUGCUUCCAGCACCUUGCAUGUGUCCUUGAGUUCAGCAAUCAAAGCAUCCUUGGACACAGCACCUGAAGCAGCAGCUUUCCCUGAUGUCGAGACAAUGUCUGGGACAUGUGUCCCCUCAAACAGUUUGUAAUGCAGGGACAGAGCAGAUUCUCUCUUCUUCACAGAGUCAAUGUUGUUUAAAAUAUUGGGAUGUUGACUCAACAUAAUGCCACACAAUACAGUUGGGAAGGCAAUGGGUAAUUUGACAGCAAAAGAUUCUGAAUGCUUAACAGUUUGAUCAAAAAUAUAGUUUCCAAAAUUAAAUUUGGACUUGGUUCCAACAGCAUACAGAAAUUUACCCAAACCUGUGGCAACAGUGGAAGUAUGAUUGGUGGGUACCCAGUUGGCAGUGCCAAUCCUAUACAGGAUUGCAUACUUCACACUUAGCUUCCCUGCAGAAAGCUUCCCUUUCUUUGGCCAAUGCUGGACUUGUUUGGCAGUGAUUUCCUUGGCAAUUUGAUGCUCAGAAACAGCAAUAUCCACCACUCCUUCAGUUGGUCUGCCCAGGUAUUUGUUGAUUACAGGAGGGGAGAAUCUAACACAUUUUCCUCUGACAAACACUUUCUGAUACUCAUCACUCUUUCUGUUUGUUAUGUCAGAGGGAAUGUUGACAAUGAAUUCCCUGACUAGACUUUCAUAGCAAUUUCCCAACUUGGUGACAGUUUUCAGCAGUCCAGCAGCCUUGAUGAGGUCCAUGAUCUCCUUGCAAUCCAAGGCAUCUCUUCCCAGUUCUCUUUCUAAGGCAAGUCUGCGUUGAUAUACAAAUUUCCACCUUUCAACAUUGCCAAUGGAGUGGAAUGAAAUGUUGUCCAAUGGUGCAUCAGGGACAUUUCCAGGCACCUUUUUCCCUGAUUUCUUGGCCCUCUUGAUGUCGGGAACAUCUAGUUCGACAUCAUCAUCAGAAUCAGAUGAGGAAAUUUCUUUCCUCUUCUUGGAAGGGAUUGCAACUUUGCUCCAUCUGGAUGUGGUAGGAGUGAUUGGAGUGCUCUUCUUCUGUGCCAUAGUUUUGAUUCGUCCAGACCUAGUAAUGGGGGUUUUUCCCUUUCUGCUUUGUAAUCUUUCUGCAAUGCCAGGUGCCAACUUGUUGGCAAUGGGUUCCUCAUCAGAUUCUACUUCUUCUAGGUCAAUGAGGUCACCUGGAGCAGGUUCUGGUGCCCUUGGUGCAGGGGUCUCCUCUGUGGCUUGAUCCUCUUCCUCUGUUGAUUCCUCUUUACUGGAUGAAGAGAGGACUUCAGCAUUUGGGGUGGAAGAUGUUGGAACAUCUUUAUCAGCAUCAGGGACAGAAGCAUUUUUCAGAAUGCUACUCACAAUACUGCGGAUCUUCUUAUCCAUCUCCGUGUCUACUUCCCUAGGACUUGUUGCAAGGCUAGGGUUUUCAGAAAUCUUCACUCCCUGUUGUCUUUUGGGGACCAGUUUCUCAGGAAUAGGGGCUUGACCAGGAAUCAUUUGUAUGGGUUGGAUAUUGAAUUCAGGUUGUUCCUGGUUUGAUGAUGCUUUGGUGGAUGAUGGAGAUGAUGGUACAGAGGGUGAACCAGGAGAUGAAGUUUCUUUUGGUGAGGUAGCCAUGGAGAAGCAGAGCCUUUGGAGUGGUUUCGUGAAUCUCUGAGAGGUGUUGGGGAAUGCUGAUGAAAACGAGAUUACCACGAAAAUAUGAGUUUGAAUGAGGAAUGUAGAGGGUCGUGUGAAGCAACGGUCGAAUUUGUUUUGGCCCAGUGGUGAACGCGCUAUUAACGUUUGAGCACGUUCAGAUAAAAGUAAUUGCUAUAAAUCCUCUAGCAGACAAAUGCCCAGCUUGCCCUCAGUUUUUCAAACUGAUUUGCAUCCAAUGCCUUUGUGAAAAUAUCUGCUAUUUGUUCCUCAGUGUCAACAUGCUUCAGUGUGAUAACUUUAUCAUCAACAAGAUCUCUAAUAUAGUGAUGUCUAAUGUCAAUGUGCUUGGUUCUGCUGUGUUGAACAGGAUUUUUAGAAAUAUUAAUAGCACUCAAGUUGUCACAGUACAAUGUCAUGACAUCUUGUUCGACAUUGUACUCCUUAAGCAUCUGCUUCAUCCAAACUAGUUGUGAACAGCUGCUUCCUGCUGCAAUAUACUCUGCUUCUGCAGUAGAUAGGGACACACAGUUCUGCUUCUUGCUGAACCAUGAAAUAAGAUUGUUGCCCAAAUAGAAACAUCCACCAGAAGUGCUUUUUCUGUCAUCUGCACUUCCAGCCCAAUCAGCAUCACAAUAUCCAACCAGCAUUGAAUCUGAACAAUGACAGUACAUAAUCCCAUAGUCACUGGUGCCAUUUACAUAUUUCAGAAUUCUCUUUACUUGAUUCAAGUGACUUAUCUUAGGGUUGGCUUGAUAUCUUGCACAAACACCUACUGCAAAGGUGAUGUCAGGUCUGCUUGCUGUUAAAUAUAGUAAGCUCCCAAUCAUGCUUCUGUAUAGACUUUGAUCAACACUGGUGCCAGCUUCAUCUUUUGACAGCUUCAAGUGAGUAGGUGCAGGUGUUCUUUUAUGGCUGGCAUUUUCCAUCCCAAACUUCUUGACAAUGUUCUUUGCAUACUUGCUUUGUGAGAGGAAUAUGGAGUCUUCCAUCUGCUUCACUUGGAGUCCCAGAAAAUAAGUCAGCUCUCCAACAAGACUCAUCUCAAAUUCAGAUUGCAUCUGUUGGACAAAAUGUCGAAGCAUCUCAUUCGACAUCCCUCCAAACACAAUGUCAUCAACAUAUAUUUGUGCUAUCAUCAAGUUUUCAGCAUCUUGUUUGACAAAGAGAGUCUUGUCAAUUCCUCCCUUCCUAUACCCUUGCUGAGUAAAGAACUCUGUUAGCCUUUCAUACCAAGCUCUUGGAGCUUGCUUCAAUCCAUAGAGAGCCUUCUUGAGCUUGUAUACAUGAUCUGGAUGAGUUGGAUCUGCAAAUCCCUUUGGCUGCUCCACAUAGACUUCUUCAUUCAGGUAUCCAUUCAGAAACGCGCUCUUCACAUCCAUCUGAUACAACUUGAAUUUGAGGAUGCAAGCUACACCAAGUAAUAGUCUGAUGGACUCAAGUCUAGCAACAGGGGCGAAAGUUUCAUCAAAGUAUACACCUUCAAUCUGAGUGUAGCCUUGAGCAACAAGUCUGGCCUUGUUUCUGGUUAUAACACCUUCUUCAUUGGUUUUGUUCUUGAAGAUCCACUUGGUGCCAAUCACAUUAGUUCCCUUGGGUCUAGGAACUAGCUCCCAGACUUCAUUCCUUUUGAAUUGCUCCAAUUCUUCUUGCAUAGCAUUGAUCCAGAACUCAUCAGUCAGUGCCUCUUUCACAUUCUUUGGCUCAGUUUUGGAGACAAAACAUGAAUUGGAGACAAUCUCAGACUCCCUUGAUCUUGUAGUGACUCCUCUGUUUGGAUCUCCUAUAAUCAGCUCCUUGGGGUGCAUCUUCUGGAUUCUAAUGGAAGGACUCUUGUCAGGUUGAUUGAUGUUUGGUUCAUCUGUAGCAGAAUCAGAGUUUUCUGCAUUUUCUGCACUUUUAGCUGUAUCUGCUACAUUGUCUCUCGAUGUUCUGACAUCUUCUUCGACAUCCUUCUUUCUUGCUGGAGUUAAAUCAUUAACAACCACAUUGAUGGAUUCCAUCACAGUUCUGGUUCUGGAAUUGAAUACUCUAUAUGCUCUGCUGUUUGUGGAGUAUCCCAAGAAUAUUCCUGCAUCACUCUUUGGAUCCAUCUUUCUCCUUUGCUCUCUAUCUGCCAAAAUGUAACAUGGACUUCCAAAGAUGUGGAAGUGCUUGACAGUUGGCUUCCUCCCUUUCCAGAUUUCAUACAGUGUGGUUGGAGUCCCUCUUCUAAGUGUGACUCUGUUGUGGAUAUAGCAUGCUGUGUUCAUGGCUUCAGCCCAGAGAUUAUAGGGAAGUUCUUUGGCAUGAAGCAUGACCCUAGCAGCUUCUUGCAAAGUCCUGUUUUUCCUUUCAACUAUGCCAUUUUGUUGUGGUGUGAUGGCUGCAGAGAACUCAUGAGUGAUGCCUUCAGAUGUGCAGAAUUCAGUAAACUUGCUGUUUUCAAACUCUCUGCCAUGGUCACUCCUAAUUCUCUUGAUGACACAGUCUUUUUCUCUUUGAAGUCUUAGACUCAACUCUUUGAAAACUUCAAAGGUGUCUGUUUUCUCUCUGAUAAAGUUGACCCAGGUAAAUCUGGAGAAAUCAUCCACAACAACAUAGGCAUACCUCUUUCCUCCAAGGCUUUCAACUUGCAUAGGCCCCAUCAAGUCCAUGUGAAGUAGUUCCAGCACCCUGGAAGUGGUCUGAUGUUGAAGCUUCUGGUGGGACAUCUUGACUUGCUUUCCAAUCUGACAUUCACCACAGAUUCUGCCUUCUUCUAUUUUCAGAUUGGGAAUGCCUCUAACAGCACCUUUGUCAAUGAUUUUCUUCAUGCCUCUUAAGUGCAGAUGUCCAAAUCUUUGAUGCCAUAUUUUGACUUCAUCUUCUUUGGAGGAUAGACAUGUGGAGGAGUAACUGGUUUCUUGAGGUGUCCAUAGGUAACAGUUGUCCUUUGAUCUGCUGCCCUUCAUUAGAACUUCACUCUUCUCAUUUGUCACCAAGCAUUCUGACUUUGUGAAGUUUACAUUGAAUCCUUCAUCACACAACUGACUGAUGCUGAUCAAGUUUGCAGUCAGUCCCUUCACCAGCAGUACUUUGUUCAGACUAGGAAGUCCAUCAUGGACUAGCUUUCCCAUUCCAGUGAUCUUUCCUUUAGAGCCAUCUCCAAAUGUCACAUAGCUAGUGGAGCAGGGUUCAAUGUUCACCAGGAAUUCUUUAACUCCUGUCAUGUGUCUGGAACAGCCGCUAUCUAGGUACCAAUCUUCCUUAGCUGAUGCCCUAAGUGAAGUAUGAACAACAAGACUAACAAUCUUGUGUUUUGGAACCCACAUCAUCUUUCUUCUGCUGCUGCUACUUUGAGUUCCAUGAUGUGGAUGGCCAUGUAGAUGAUAGCAAAAGGGCUUUAUGUGACCAUACUUGCCACAGUAGUGACACCUCCACUUCUUUCUUUUGCUCUUUUUCUGCUGCGUUCCAUGAUGUUGAGACCGAUGUUGUGACAUCGUGGCUCCAGUGCUGUUUUUGGCAGGAACAAAUUUUGUCAUGGUUGUUCUGCCAGCAGAUUUAUGAUUAAAUCCAAGUCCUCUCUGGUUUCCAACAUUCUUCCCAAGCUGUAGCACCUCAUCAAGCAUAUCUGAGCCUUUAUUCAGCAUCUUUAUUGAUUUUGUCAUGUUUUCCAGUUUAGAGUUCAGAAAACCAAUUUCUCCUUUAAGUUCAGAGAUCUCCUCUUCAUGUGCCUCCUUCUCAGCCUCCAGAUUUGCAAUGACCUUCUUCAGUUGUGCUUCUUGCUGAAGAAUCUUCUCACUUUUGAUGCAUAGUUCUCUAUAGGAUAUAGCAAGCUCAUCAAAAGUGAUUUCAAUAUCAAUAUCACUUGAGUCUUCAUCUGAUUCAAAUCUACCAGUGAGUGCAUUCACAUCUCUGUCAGAAUCACUUUCUUGUUCACUCUCUGUAUCAUCAGACCGACAUACAGAAAGUCCUUUCCUCUGCUUCUUGAGAUGGGUGGGACAUUCAGCUUUGAUGUGUCCAUAGCCUUCACACCCAUGGCAUUGAAUUCCUUUGCUGUGACUGGGCUUUUCAUCUGACUUCUUCUGGUAUUCACUACCUUUCCUGAUGUCGAAAGGGAUGUUCCGGACAUGUGGUUUCUGCCUCCUGUCCAUUCUGUUCAGCACUUUGUUGAACUGUUUUCAAAGGAGCACAACUGCGUUAGUCAGACCUUCAUCAGUAUCCAGGUCAUACUCAUCUUCUUCUCCUUCAUCAUUGGACACGAACGCCAGGCUCUUGCUCUUCUUUUCAGUCCUAUCCGAGAGUCCUAGCUCAAAGGUUUGAAGGGAACCAAUGAGUUCAUCUACUCUCAUGUUGCAAAUGUCUUGGGCCUCCUCUAUUGCAGUGACUUUCAUGUCAAAUCUCUUAGGCAAAGAUCUGAGGAUCUUUCUCACCAGCUUUUCAUCUGUCAUCCUUUCUCCCAAGGCAGUGCAAGCAUUGGCAAUUUCAAGAAUGUUCAUGUGGAAGUCAUGAAUGCAUUCUUCCUCCUUCAUCUUCAGAUUUUCGAAUUUUGUAGCCAAUAGUUGCAAUCUGGACAUCUUCACUUUGGAGGUUCCUUCAUGAGUGGUUUUCAGAAUCUCCCAUGCAUCCUUGGCAACUGUGCAUGUGUUGAUCAAUCUGAAGAUAUUCUUGUCAACUCCAUUGAAUAGGGCAUUCAAGGCUUUGGAGUUUCCAAGUGCCAAUUCGUCUUCUUCUUUUGUCCAGUCUUCUUCUGGCUUUAAUUCAUCAGUGAGCUUUCCUUCUGUGUUCAGCAUCUUGGGAUGUUCCCAGCCUUUGAUGACAGCUUUCCAGGUUCUGCUAUCCAGUGAUUUGAGGAAGGCCACCAUCCUUGCUUUCCAGUAUUCAUAGUUGGUUCCAUCCAGAAUUGGUGGUCUGUUCACUGGUCCUCCUUCUCUCUCCAUGUUCAUCAGAAUUUAUCUCCCUAGAUCUCACUCAGUGAUUUAGAGUGCCCGCUCUGAUACCAAUUGAAAUUCUGAUACUGGGGACAGAUGUCGUACAGGAUGUCACGACAUCACGCUUCAGAACAUGCAGAUUGUAUAUGACCGUAUUGUCAUACCCUAAUUUCGUCCGGGGACCUUUGCUCGAUGACGUGCGACCAUUCUUUGGUCCUCGUGAGGUGCUUGGCACCCAUCAUUAGGCAAUUUGUGAAAUUUCAGGACAUGCCGAAAAACCAAAAAAAUAUUGAUGCACAAUCCGUAAGUUUCCGUGACACACCGGAAAUCAAAUGGAAGCAUCAUUGCAUAAUUAAGUGAGGUUCCGUAACAUUCCGUAAGUCAAAAAGGGGAUGAUUAUGUAAUCCGCAAGGUUCCGUAACAUUACGGAAAGAAAACAAGUAUCGUUACGAAAUUCGUAAGUUUCCGUAACUUUACGAAAAAAGAAUCACCAAAAAACAGUAGAGGGGGGUGUACUUAGUAAAAAUGGGGGUGCAAAUAGCACCCAGGCCCACUUGGGCCCUCUGGAACAUUCCUCCAGAAGGCGGUUGCUUCUGGAGGAAGCAACCCUGCUCGCCUGGGCGAGCUGAGCUCGCCUGGGCGAGCUGGGCGGCAACCACCUCCCCUAUUUUGCUAUAAAUAGGGGAGGAAGUGAAGAAGGAAGGGGUUCAGCCCCUUAGGCACUUCUCUCUCUUUCGAAUUUGCUUGGAAAAAUUAUUUCCGUGAAGAAAAUCUAAGCCGAGGCGCUUCCGAAACGUUUCCGUAACGUUUUCCGUGAGGAAUCUCGCAAAGGUUUCAACCGUUCUUCGACGUUCUUCAUUCGUUCUUCAUCGUUCUUCGAUCUUCAACGGGUAAGUAUCUCGAACCAAGCUUUUCGAUUCAUUCUAUGUACCCGUAGUGGUCCACAUUGUGUUUCGUGCAUUUUUUUGUUUACUUUUUAUACCCCCUGUUGACGUGCUUAAGCCAUUUUACUUAAGUCAUUUCUCGCUUAACUUAAAAAUAAAAUAAAUUUCCACCGAACGUUUGAAUUGUGUUAUCCAUUAACUUCGGUUAAAAUAAAUUCUGACCGUUCGGUCGUGCCGUAACCACGUUGGAAAUCAAAAAGAGGUAAAAAAUAAUAUAAUAAUCAAAAAGACAUCUUUUAGUAAAAUAAAGCGGAAAAUCAAUCGGACGUUUUCUCUUUGGGAUUUCUCAUUCUUAAUCGAAUUGAUUAAUAACUAAAGUGAAACUAAGGCUAAAAUCAACUCGCCUAGUCAAGCUCGUCCACAAAAAUAGGCUUUGGAAGUUUGUCAUUUCAAUUUCUCACUAAGUAAAAUGGAUCAUUUUUAAGGUCCAACGCCUUAAAAUGAUCACCUCUUAAAGUAAACAAGAAUCACUUGAUAAAAAAGAACUACGUAGGUCUGAUUUUCUCAUCCCAAAUUGAGGAAUACGUAGGAGCAAAGGGAAACACCCUUGUCGACCACAAAAAGAGAAAAUAUAAAAAGGGUAUAAAGGAUAUAGAGACAUAAAAAGGGAACAUAAAAAAUCAAAGUCAUGUUUGCACAUUCGAUUAAAGGCUGCCGUCCCUUGGGGCGGACGUGUGGGGUGCUAAUACCUUCCCCGUGCGUAAAUACAACUCCCGAACCUUUCACUAAAAAGUUCGUAGAUCGCGUCUUUUCCGGUUUUUCCGACGUUUUCCUCAAAUAAACGUUGGUGGCGACUCCGCGCGUACUCCUUUCGUGGAACACGCAUCCCGCGAGUCUCGCGUCGCCCUCCCGCCGAAGGGUAGGUUGCGACAGUUGGCGACUCCACUGGGGACUGUUUUUUAGAGAGUUAGGCCAUUUAAUCUUGUGCAAUGUUUUACCGUGACUUACCCCUUUGUUGGUUUCCCUUCAUUAUGUUCUUGUGUAUAUAAACUCUUUAUUGCUUUCAGUGCGUUUUAAAAUGUAUGCAUGAAGUAAAUAUUUAUUCAUUUGAUGCACACAAACACCAACACUAUUUGCACACACUGUGAGUGAAAAAGGGCCCUAUACCCGGGUUCAUGGGAGCAUAAGGAGUGGAGGUGAAUCUGUGAUCAUGCUAGGUCUCCGACUUGCUUGAUUACAGUGAACCCUCAUCUAGAGCUUUUCUCUUUGAAAACCUAUUGUUGCUAGUAGUCCCUACUGCUACAAUAUGUUCUUCAAAGGGGAUGAUACCUCUAGAAACCAUCAAGAGAGAUAUAACUACCUUGGGGAUUAUAACUACCAUCAAGAGAAAUAGGGGCACGAAGCAAACACGCUGCGUGCCAUUUUUCACACUGCCAUGCAUGAGUAUCAUAUACCCUUUUGCUUAUGUUCGGUAAAUAUUGUCAUACUGUGUACAUUCCCGCAUUGUGUCUUUUGCAUAGGCAUUGCAUAUGGGUUCUGUCUUGAUCCCUACUGUAAACAAACCAACGGAGGGUCCGUGUCGCUUUCUUAAAAACGUGCGUUGGGGCAUUUUGCUACCCCUAGACGUCGUAUCUAAGAAGGGGACAAAUUCCCCGGACCCCCGCAUUCCUAGAUUGCAUCUGUGUCAUAUGCAUUCCAUCAUGCAUUCAUCCAUUCCACCCAUGAGAUAUCGGAGUUUUGAUUUGCACCAGCUUUUAUCUCACUUUAGUAAGCAUGGGAACAAAUCAAACCGGCAAGAGGUUCUACCAAGUCAAGGUCAAAAGCCCAGAUACCACCAGCAUCAAGGAAUUAGGGCGGUUGAUGGAACCCCUCCAAAUGCAAGCCUUCCGCAAGACUUACGGAAAGAUCUUAGAGUUGACCAUAGCAGAGGUGUCCAUAGAAGCCAUUGCAUCACUUACCCAAUACUACGACCAGCCUUUGAGAUGCUUCACAUUCGGGGACUUCCAAUUAGUACCAACCAUUGAAGAAUUUGAGGAAAUUCUAGGAUGUCCUCUCGGGGGAAGAAAACCAUAUCUUUCCUCCGGGUGUCUCCCCUCUUUGAGCAGAAUUGCAACUGUGGUCAAGGAUUCAGCCAGAGGUUUGGACCGCAUAAAACAGACUCGGAACGGCAUAGCGGGCCUGCCACAGAAGUACCUAGAAGACAAGGCGAGGGGUAUGGCCAAUCAAGGAGACUGGGUCCCGUUUAUGGAUGUGUUAGCUUUGCUAAUUUUUGGGGUCGUCCUCUUUCCAAACGUGGAUGAUUUGAUAGACCUAGCAGCAAUCGACGCUUUCCUUGCCUACCACCAUAGCAAGGAAAGUCCGGUGGUAGCUGUCUUGGCAGAUCUAUUUGACACAUUUGACCGAAGGUGCGAGAAGAGUAGCGCACGGAUCAUCUGUUGCUUACCCGCCCUCUGUGUUUGGUUGGUUUCACACUUGUUCCAACAAGACACAAGACAUCCAUGUCCGCUCCUGAGCCAUCGCUCGUGUACUGAAAAGAGGAGAAUGGAUUGGGACCAGCUCUUGGCCGGGAUAGGAGGUAGAACAAUCAGUUGGUUCCCCCGAUGGAAGGAAGGAAAAGAAGGAGUCCUUUUCUCAUGUGGAAGGUACCCAAACAUUCCGCUGGUAGGAAUGAGGGGUUGUAUUAAUUACAAUCCCACGCUCGCUAUAAGACAACUAGGGUACCCCAUGAGGGGAGCACCGACGGAAGAAAGCAUGUCUCCUUUCCUUGUGAGGGAUCUCGGCGCACAAAAUUCCAAGACUAUACAAAGAAUCCAUAAGGCAUGGGAAACCCGGUUAAGGAAAGAUCAAGAGCUUAGAGGCAUUCGUAAUGGCAUCAUUGGUGGGUACCACGAAUGGCUGAAAGUUCGCAUACGAGGUUUAGAUUGGCUCGCCAAGUUAAAAGUCGUCAGCGAAGAGAAUUUUGAAGCACCAGAAGAGGACGAAGAAGUCCAAGCUCUCAAAAGCGAGUUAGGAAAGGCAAAACUCGCCAAGGAGAAGUUCAAGUUGGCUGCUACACACGUUCGGAAGGAGUGCGCCGGGUUAUGGGAAGAGAAUGCAAUUACCGCAAGAGCCCUUGAACAAGAGACCAAGAGGGCUCGCAAGGAAGAGUAUGGCCGGAACAAAUUUCGCGGAGCUCUAUGGGGUAGCAAUAAUGAAAUCAAGUUGCGAAGGGAAGAAAGGGACCAGUCGCGAGCACAUAGCAUGGUUCUGAAAGAGGAGUUGAUUGCUUGUUCAAGGUCCAAAAGAAGCUUGUCUCAGCGUCUAUGCGAGACAGAGACCAACAUGUUAGCUAUCAUCGCCAAGUACCAAGAAGAGUUGGGUCUAGCCACGGCCCACGAGCAUAGAAUCGCGGAUGAGUAUGCCCAAGUAUAUGCGGAAAAAGAGGCUAGAGGAAGGGUGAUCAACUCUUUACACCAAGAGGCAACCAUGUGGAUGGAUCGGUUUGCUCUUACCUUGAACGGGAGUCAAGAACUCCCCCGAUUGUUAGCCAAGGCCAAGGCGAUGGCAGACACCUACUCCGCCCCCGAAGAGAUUCAUGGGCUUCUCGGCUAUUGUCAGCAUAUGAUAGACUUAAUGGCCCACAUAAUUAGAAAUCGUUAGGAAACUUGUAUGGUCUCUCAGACCUUGACUAGAUAUGAUUUCUUUUUUUGAAAUAAAAUGAGUUGGUCCCAGGUUUCUACUCCAAAAAGCUUGUGCAAAUCAAAUCACUCCUACAUCUCAUCUCUAGCAUGCAUUUUCUUUCUUUACCCACUCCUCACGUUUGGUUUUUUAGGGAAAAACACCAUAACUAAACGCGCCGCAAGGGAUCCCUAUCGCACCAGAUCCAAAUCUAGAACGAUGGGUGAUCAAGAGGAGACACAGGAACAGUUGAAAGCCGACAUGUCGGCUCUGAAAGAACAAAUGGCCUCCAUGAUGGAGGCCAUGUUAGGUAUGAAGCAGAUCAUGGAGAAGAACGCGGCCACCGCCGCCGCUGUCAGUUCGGCUGCCGAAGCAGACCCGACUCUCUUGGCAACUACGCACCAGCCUCCCUCAAACAUAGUAGGACGGGGAAGGGACACACUGGGGCACGAUGGCAGUCCUCACCUGGGAUACAACCGAGCGGCUUACCCUUAUGGAUUGCCGCCCAACUAUUCACCACCCAUCUUGCAAGAAGAUGCGGGCCACAUUGCUUCUACCGUCCAUGAAAAAGAGCCUCCUCAGCAGCCCGACGAAGUCCAUAAAGACCCUCAAGAUUAUGCUCGGAGGGAUGUCGAGUUUUAUCCCCCGAUCCCCGAAGGGCCGGCACCAGGCACGUUGCCUCAACCCAACAUCGCAGCAUCGCCAAUAGUUUUGUCCAUGGAAGGGCCGCCCCCGGCAACUGAAGAAAGGAGGAAGCUCGAUCUCCUUGAGGAAAGAUUGAGGGCUGUGGAAGGAUUUGGGGACUAUCCGUUUGCAGACAUGACGGAUCUUUGCUUAGUACCCGAUGUUGUUAUUCCCCCGAAGUUCAAAGUGCCGGACUUCGACAAGUAUAAAGGGACGACUUGUCCCAAAAACCAUCUCAAAAUGUAUUGCCGUAAGAUGGGCGCUCAUUCUAAAGAUGAAAAGCUGUUGAUACACUUCUUUCAGGAUAGCUUGGCCGGAGCUGCGGUAGUGUGGUACACUAAUUUGGAAGCUUCCCGUAUCCGUACAUGGAAGGAUCUGAUUACCGCCUUCCUAAGGCAGUACCAGUACAAUUCUGAUAUGGCUCCUGACCGUACUCAACUGCAGAAUAUGUUUAAGAAAGAGGGUGAAACCUUUAAAGAAUAUGCGCAGCGAUGGAGGGAUUUGGCGGCACAAGUAGCUCCUCCCAUGGUUGAGAGAGAGAUGAUCACCAUGAUGGUAGACACUCUGCCAGUGUUCUACUAUGAGAAGCUAGUGGGUUACAUGCCGUCCAGCUUUGCGGAUCUGGUGUUUGCCGGGGAAAGAAUCGAGGUUGGAUUGAAGAGAGGAAAGUUUGAUUACGUUUCCUCCACAAACGUGAACGCCAAAAGAAUCGGGGCAACAGGGGCAAAAAGGAAGGAAGGAGAUGCCCAUGCCGUCUCUUAAACACCCGCGUGGGUCAAACCCCAGCAAACACCUCAUGGUACCCAUCAGUACGCGCAACACCACCCAAGCUUCUCGGCUCAUGCGGGGAACGCCUCUAGUUCAACACCCGUGCAGCCUAAGGCACCCACCCAGAGGGAAGCUCCCCAAGUUCCAACUCCGAACGCGACUCGACCGGCCGGUAAUUCCAACACGACAAGGAACUUCCCUCCGAGGCCGUUGCCGGAAUUCACCCCGCUCCCAAUGACGUACGAAGAUCUUCUACCAUCCCUCAUCGCCAAUCAUUUGGCCGUGGUAACUCCCGGAAGGGUCCUCGAACCCCCUUUCCCGAAGUGGUAUGACCCUAAUGCAACUUGCAAGUACCAUGGGGGUGUCCCGGGGCAUUCCGUCGAAAAAUGCUUGGCCCUCAAGUACAAGGUCCAACAUUUAAUGGAUGCUGGAUGGCUGACUUUCCAAGAGGAUCGGCCCAAUGUGAGAACCAACCCGCUCGCCAAUCAUGGAGGGGGAGCAGUUAAUGCAGUUGAAUCCGAUAGGCCGCACAGGUCUAAACCUUUAAGGGAUGUGGCAACCCCUAGGAGGUUUAUCUUUGAGGCCCUACAAAAGGGAGGUGUGAUUCCCCAUAGUGGGUGUAAGGAGGAUUCCUGUCUGCUACAUUCCGGCGAGAUGCAUGACAUGGAGACGUGUUUGGAAGUAGAGGAAUUGUUACAGCGGAUGAUAGAUCAAGGUCGACUGGAAGUCGGCAUUGAAGGAAAAGAAGAGCAGCACAUAUGCAUGCAAUCUACGGAGGGGAGCGGUGUUGCGAAGCCCAAACCCUUGGUGAUAUACUUCACUAAAAGUGUAGUCUCGCAAAAGCCCGGGCACCCCUUAAUGGCCAAACCUGUUCCUUUCCCGUAUCAAAAUAGUCACGCGGUCCCGUGGAGAUAUACACCUCCGGGGAAGAAGGAAGAAGAAGUUACUGACGUCAGCUCGCUGUCGGCCAAAAUAACAAAUAUCACGGGACUGAGUGGUGUGACCCGUAGUGGUCGUGUGUUCGCGCCUCCGGACCUACCGGUCCAACCCGCCGACGUCAAGGGAAAAGGAAAAGUGGUGGAGGAACAAGAUGGCGAAGCACCCCACGCUUCGAAUAAAGAUAUUCCAGCAAAGGGGCCCCCGGAGAAAAAGGAUGGUAGAAAGGAGGUGUCGCUAGAGGAAGCCAGCGAGUUCCUUCGGAUAAUUCAGCAGAGCGAAUUCAAGGUUAUCGAACAGCUCAACAAAACCCCGGCUAGGGUCUUGCUGUUGGAGUUACUUAUGAGCUCCGAGCCUCAUCGGGCUCUGCUAGUAAAAGUGCUGAACGAGGCUCACGUGGCCCAAGAUAUUUCGGUAGAAGGUUUCGGAGGGCUGGUCAACAAUAUCACUGCCAACAACUAUCUUGCCUUCGCCGAAGAAGAAAUCCCCGCCGAGGGGAGAGGGCAUAAUAAGGCUUUACACGUAUCGGUCAAGUGUAUGGACCAUAUCGUAGCCAAGGUACUCAUCGAUAAUGGUUCCAGUUUAAACGUGAUGCCUAAGAGCACUUUGGACAAGUUACCAUUCAAUGCUUCCCACUUAAAACCAAGUUCAAUGGUGGUUCGGGCCUUCGACGGCACUCGCCGAGAGGUUAGGGGAGAGAUCGAUCUCCCAGUACAAAUAGGCCCUCACACCUGUCAAGUCACCUUCCAAAUAAUGGAUAUUAACCCCCCCUACAGCUGCCUGUUGGGGCGCCCGUGGAUCCACUCAGUGGGAGUUGUGCCUUCUACACUCCACCAAAAGCUGAAAUUCGUAGUGGAGGGACACUUGGUCAUCGUGUCAGGUGAGGAAGAUAUCUUGGUAAGCUGUCCAUCCUCCAUGCCUUACGUGGAAGCCGCGGAAGAAUCGUUAGAAACCGCUUUCCAGUCUUUUGAGGUGGUCAGCAUUUCCUCCGUGGACUCCCUCUUUGGGCAACCUUGUCUGUCCGAUGCGGCGGUAAUGAUGGCCCGAGUUAUGUUGGGGAACGGUUAUGAACCCGGGAUGGGUUUAGGCAAAGACAAUGGCGGCAUAACUAGCCUGAUAAAAACCCAAGGAAAUCGUGGGAAGUAUGGUUUAGGCUAUAAGCCCACUCAGGCGGACAUGAAAAGAAGCAUCGCGGGAAGGAAGAACAGUGGUCAGAGCUCGCAUUGGAGACAAGAAAGUGAAGGAAGCCCGCCCUGCCACAUAAGUAGAAGCUUUAUAAGUGCGGGUCUGGGAGACGAAGGUCAAGUGUUCGCGAUAUGCGAAGAUGAUGUUCCGAGUACUUUGGAUUUGGUACGACCAUGCUCUCCUGAUUUCCAGCUGGGAAAUUGGCGAGUGGAGGAACGCCCCGGCAUUUACGCAACAAGCAUAAUGUAAACCUUUACGGUUUUAAAAGCUCUAUAGUUGGGCCUAGGCUUUAGAGUUUUUCCUUUUGUUAAGGCUUUGUGUCUUUUGUUUUUGAAUUUAUAAUACAAGGUUCUUACUUCAUCUGUUCCUGGUCUCUACCCCUUCUCAUUCAUUUGCAUGUUUACUUCUUUUUCUGAAACGGCAGAUCCGAUGACGAGUCCCCCGAAGGUAUUAAUACCUGGGACCCGUCUAUCGACUUCGAGCAAGAGAUGAAUCAAACGGAAGAUGAAGGAAAUGAGGAUGUGGGACUUCCUUCGGAACUAGAAAGAAUGGUCGCCCAUGAGGACCAAGAAAUGGGGCCUCAUCAAGAAGAAACAGAGCUAGUAGACUUAGGAAUUGGCAGUGGAAAGAGGGAAGUAAAGAUAGGUACAGGCAUUACCGCACCUAUCCGUGAAGAAUUAAUAAUCCUGCUAAAAGACUACCAAGACAUCUUUGCUUGGUCAUACCAAGAUAUGCCCGAUUUGAGUUCUGACAUUGUGCAGCACUGAUUACCUCUAAAUCCCGGAUGUUCCCCGGUAAAACAGAAAUUGAGGAGGAUGAAGCCCGAAACAUCCUUGAAGAUAAAAGAAGAAGUGAAGAAGCAAUUUGACGCUGGAUUUCUGGCCGUCGCUCGGUAUCCAAAAUGGGUGGCCAACAUCGUACCAGUUCCUAAAAAAGAUGGGAAAGUACGAAUGUGUGUAGAUUAUCGGGACCUGAAUCGGGCCAGUCCCAAGGACAAUUUUCCUUUACCACACAUCGAUAUCCUCGUAGAUAACACGGCCAAUUUCGCUUUAUUUUCCUUCAUGGACGGUUUCUCUGGUUACAAUCAGAUAAAGAUGGCGCCCGAGGAUAUGGAAAAGACUACUUUCGUCACCCUGUGGGGAACGUUCUGUUACAAGGUGAUGUCCUUUGGACUCAAGAAUGCCGGGGCAACUUAUCAACGGGCCAUGGUAGCUUUGUUCCAUGAUAUGAUGCAUCAAGAAAUCGAGGUCUACGUGGACGACAUAAUUGCUAAAUCUAAAUCCGAGGAAGAACACCUUGUCAACCUACGGAAAUUGUUCGAAAGGCUUAAGAAAUAUCAAUUAAGGUUGAACCCCGCUAAGUGUACCUUUGGGGUCAAAUCAGGGAAAUUGCUUGGUUUCGUUGUAAGCCAGAAAGGGAUAGAGGUAGACCCCGAAAAAGUGAAGGCUAUCCUUGAGAUGCCGGAACCCCGUACAGAGAGGCAGGUCCGAGGGUUCCUGGGGCGCCUGAAUUAUAUUGCCAGAUUCAUAUCGCAGCUCACCGCCAUUUGUGAGCCGUUGUUUAAACUCUUGCGCAAAAACCAAACUGAUCGGUGGAAUGAGGAUUGCCAAUAGGCUUUUGGAAGGAUCAAAAAGUGCUUAAUGAGUCCUCCCGUGCUUAUGCCACCAGUACCGGGAAGGCCUCUCAUUUUGUACAUGACAAUCUUGGACGAAUCAAUGGGGUGUAUGCUGGGGCAACAUGACGAAUCCGGGAAGAAAGAGCGCGCUGUUUACUACCUAAGUAAGAAGUUCACGACCUGUGAGAUGAAUUACUCCUUGCUCGAAAGAACGUGUUGUGCUUUAGUAUGGGCGUCCCAUCGCUUAAGGCAGUACAUGCUGAGCCAUACUACCUGGUUGAUAUCCAAAAUGGACCCGGUCAAGUACAUCUUUGAAAAGCCAGCUCUCACAGGACGAAUCGCCCGGUGGCAAGUCUUGCUAUCUGAGUUUGAUAUAGUCUACGUCACCCAAAAGGCGAUAAAAGGAAGCGCUUUGGCAGAUUAUUUGGCUCAACAGCCUCUUAACAACUACCAGCCCAUGCAUCCGGAAUUCCCGGAUGAGGACAUCAUGGCCUUGUUCGAGGAAAAAUUGGACGAAGAUCGGGACAAAUGGACUGUAUGGUUUGACGGAGCGUCAAACAUUCUAGGUCAUGGCGUUGGGGCAGUGUUGAUCUCUCCGGACAAUCAAUGUGUACCUUUCACAGCCAGGCUAGGAUUCGACUGCACCAACAACAUGGCCGAAUAUGAAGCAUGUGCCCUAGCCGUCCAGGCAGCAAUUGACUCUAAUGUCAAACUACUCAAGGUGUACGGCGACUCAGCGUUGGUAAUCCAUCAGCUGAGAGGGGAAUGGGAAACUAGAGAUCCCAAGCUGAUACCCUACAAAGCCUACAUCAAGGAGUUGGCUAAGACUUUCGAUGAGAUCUCCUUCCAUCAUGUUCCCCGCGAGGAAAAUCAAAUGGCGGAUGCACUUGCUACGUUGGCCUCUAUGUUCCAGCUAACACCGCACGGGGACCUACCCUACAUUGAAUUUCAGUGUCGUGGCAAACCCGCACAUUGUUACCAAGUGGAAGAGGAAUGGGACGGAAAGCCUUGGUAUUACGACAUCAAGCGAUAUGUCGUAAGCAAAGAAUACCCGCCAGAGAUUGCCGACAACGAUAAAAGGACAUUGAGGAGGUUGGCAGCCAGUUUCUUCAUGAGCGGAGGCACACUGUAUAAGAGAAAUCACGACAUGACACUCCUGCGAUGUGUGGAUGCCAAGGAGGCAAAUCACAUGAUCGAGGAAGUCCAUGAGGGCUCGUUUGGAACGCACGCCAACGGGCAUGCUAUGGCCAGGAAGAUCUUAAGAGCGGGUUAUUACUGGCUUACCAUGGAAAGUGAUUGUUGUGUCCAUGUGAGGAAGUGCCACAAAUGUCAAGCAUUCGCGGAUAAUGUCAUUGCCCCACCGCAUCCUCUGAAUGUCAUGUCCGCCCCUUGGCCUUUCUCCAUGUGGGGAAUAGAUGUCAUCGGGGCCAUUGAGCCCAAGGCCUCGAAUGGUCAUCGCUUCAUCCUCGUAGCAAUAGAUUAUUUCACCAAGUGGGUCGAGGCGGCUUCAUAUACCAAUGUCACGAGGAAUGUGGUGGUCAGGUUCAUUAAGAAGGAGAUCAUCUGCCGAUAUGGUUUGCCAAGGAAGAUUAUCACGGACAACGGCACCAACCUGAAUAACAAGAUGAUGGGGGAAAUGUGCGAGGAGUUUAAAAUCCAGCAUCACAAUUCCACACCCUACCGGCCAAAGAUGAAUGGAGCCGUGGAAGCAGCCAAUAAGAAUAUCAAAAAGAUUAUCCAAAAGAUGACCGUGUCAUACAAGGAUUGGCACGAGAUGCUCCCAUUCGCGUUACACGGUUACCGGACUUCAGUGCGAACGUCAACUGGGGCAACGCCGUUCUCAUUGGUAUAUGGGAUGGAGGCGGUGUUACCGUUCGAGGUAGAAGUCCCGUCAUUAAGGAUCUUGGCAGAAUCCGGAUUAAAGGAAUCAGAGUGGGCUCAAACACGCUACGAUCAGCUCAACCUCAUUGAGGGUAAGCGCUUAACGGCCAUGAGUCAUGGGCGCUUAUACCAGCAAAGAAUGAAGAGUGCAUUCGACAAGAAAGUACGCUUACGCAAGUUCCAUGAGGGAGACCUUGUGCUAAAGAAAAUGUCCCAUGCUGCCAAGGACCAUCGAGGGAAAUGGGCCCCGAACUACGAAGGGCCUUUUGUUGUGAAGAGGGCUUUUUCCGGAGGAGCCCUGGUGCUUACCAACAUGGAUGGCGAAGAGCUACCUUCACCCGUGAACUCUGAUGUCGUCAAACAAUAUUAUGCUUAGAAGCUGGGGCAAUUAAGGAUGUCGCUGCAUGUUCUCUAUCUUUAUGCGUUUUCUAGAUUUUCCCCCCAGGGAUUUCCAGUCCGUUGUAUCUCUUGUUACGAUCUUUCAAAGAAAUGAACAUGGAUUUGAGGCUUUUAGUCCUCACGUUAGUUUCACACCUUGCGUUAAUUUGUGAUCGCCUGAGCCCUUCCGCUCAGUUCAUGGGAUCCCCCAAGCGCUUAAUUAGAAUUGAACCUGAACCAACUUUCCCUAAAUUUUCUGCGUUUGAAAACAUCCAUGCAUACGCAUACGCAUACGCAUGUAUAUUGUUGUGGUAAAACAGGGGCAGGAUCACCUUGGGCUACCUUCUGGAGUGGAGACAAAACAUGAACGGCAGAAACCAAUCAAAGUAGGGUAAUGAUGCGGUCAAGAUUGGCCAUACCUGGUUGUUUAUUACUUGCAGGUACUUAAGGAUGAACGCAAGCGGGGAUGGGGUCACGACCGACCGAUCGUUGCCCUUCUCUGUGCGAAACAAGCAGGGAAUGUCGCUGCAAGGCAGCCCCGUAUCCUUUGUAUUUUGUAGCUUUUUUUUUACUAUUUGUUUGUUUUAAAAAGGAAAAGAGUAAUAAUAAGAUAAGUAAUCAAUGCCUAAUUCUAACCUAAGUAAGUUCAAGUUAGGCAAAAUGCUAAUCCAUGAGAAGGGAGGGGACAUGGUUAAUGUUCCCCUCAAAAAAAAAAAAAAAAAAAAAAAAAAAAAAGUGCAGGUUAGCUCGCCUGGGCGAGCUGGGCGAGCCUGGGCGAGCCACCCCUGCACCAAAUUAUAUAAAUGACGAAAGGGGGGGCGUUUUUACAUUCAAAAACUUCUUUUCCCCCCUUUCAAAAGCCAUACCCACGGGAUUGACGAAUUUGCAGCCCUAGGGUCAUCCUUUUUCGCUUUUUUUGAUUCCGUUUUGCGCUUUUGUUCAUCACCAACAAGUAAGUAUUCCAUCCCUAAGCUUUCUAGCUUUUCAUUGGUAUAUUUUGAUCUCCUUUUUUGUGCUCUAAAUUGUGGGAGUGUGCCCAAAUAUAUGGGGCAAUUUUGAUUUGUUUUCUUGCUUGAUUAGGUUGAAUUAGGGGUUGGUAUGAGAUGGCCCUAGGCCUAUAAUGCAUUUUGAAACAAUAGGACAUGCCACAUUGUCCCCGUUCUCUUGCUAUUGAUGCCUAAACGCGCGCCCACCAAGUGUUCGGUGAAAUGCCUCAAUGGCAUUAGCGCGUGACUUUUGUAAGGAGACAACCCAUGGGGUAUUUUGGUUUGUGCAUAUUUUCUAUUUUUUUUGGAAUAUGUAUUCAUUCCCGAAAAAGGCUAGAGUAAUCGCCCCACAUAUACCCUAGUCCUAGAAACUGAAUUUUAUGCAAAAAGAGCACAAAAGGAGGUGCAUAUUGGGUAAAGUUAUCCUUUUUUGGCCAGCAAUCAGCUAUGGGCCACGCUACAAUAUUUUCCCUAUGCCUAGAUGGUUAGGAAUUUUGCUCAUCAUAAAUGUGUAGGUUUAGAAUAGGUAGCAAAAUACCUUUGGCAAUUUACACUUUGGGUAUGAUAGCAAAAUACUUGGAUGUAUGUACAUAUAAUUUUUGGUAGUCAAAAAUGUCUCACAAAAAAAUAUACAUAAAUAUGUUGCAUGUUAUGUAAAGAAGAUACAUUACCAAAAAAUGUAUACCUUUUAAUUUGAAUACAAUUUUAGUCAGCAAAGGAAAAUAUACUUGAAUUUCCAUGCGGCUUUAGGUAGCAAAAACUUGAAAAGAGCAUGAAAUGUAGCACCUUAUUGUGUAGAUAGUCAAGAUUCAUCAUGAAGUUUGUGUAUGUAUAGGUAUUAGAAAUACCAAGAUGUGCACAUGUGCAAUUUUUGGUACCCCAAAAUGCUUUGAGUAUGCAUGUAUGUGAAUUUAGCCAAGGAGAUGUGUGUGAUGUAAGUAACAAAUACACCUUGGAAGUACGUGUAAAUAAUCUAGGUAACGAAGCUGCCUUGAUUGUAUAUGGGUGCAUUUUUUUCGGUUAAUAGAAUGUCUUGCGCAAGAGAACGUUUGUAAGGAAAUAUGCGCAUAAGCUUGCUCUAAAUUUACAUUGAUGUUUGUAUUUAUGGGAGGAGGUUAUAUGCCAUUUUUUGCUUUAAGAGUGAUGUCCCACUGGUAAAACUAACUUUCCAAAUGUUUGCCUUCGCAGGAAUGGCCCCGAGGAAGCUUGCCUCAAAGAGGUCCAGGAAGGACAAGGCGGCCGAAGGAACUAGUUCCGCCCCGGAGUACGACAGUCACCGCUUUAGAAGCGUUGUACACCAGCAGCGCUUCGAAGCCAUCAAGGGAUGGUCGUUUCUUCGGGAGCGACGCGUCCAGCUCAGGGACGACGAGUAUACUGAUUUCCAGGAGGAAAUAGGGCGCCGGCGGUGGGCACCACUGGUUACUCCCAUGGCCAAGUUUGAUCCAGAAAUAGUCCUUGAGUUUUAUGCCAAUGCUUGGCCAACAGAGGAGGGCGUGCGUGACAUGAGAUCCUGGGUUAGGGGUCAGUGGAUCCCGUUCGAUGCCGACGCUAUCAGCCAGCUCCUGGGAUAUCCGAUGGUAUUGGAAGAGGGCCAGGAAUACGAGUAUGGCCAGAGGAGGAACCGGUCUGAUGGGUUCGAUGAGGAGGCCAUCGCCCAGCUGCUAUGUAUACCGGGGCAGGAUUUUGCCCGGACUGCUGCAGGGAGGCGAGUGCGAAUCAUGCGCACCAAUAUGACCACCCUGACCCAGAUAUGGAUGACGUUGCUCCUCAGCAACAUCCUGCCCACCGAUCAUAAUUCCGACCUCCCCAUGCCUAAGUGCCAGCUGGUGUACGCCAUCCUGACACGGAUGAGCAUCCAUGUGGCUCAGUUGAUCACUGAUGCCAUAUAUAUUUUUGCAGGUAUGGCGCCCACUAGGCACCCUUUGGACCCAGAUAAGUCCAACAGGGCCCUGGGAUUCCCCGCACUGAUCACAGGACUCUGCCAGUCGUUCGGAGUCCCCGUUGCACCUACCAAGGUGAUUCGGCCGCCCAUCACCCGGGCUUUUAUUGAGAAGUACUGUACCCAGAGACAGGCUCAGGGUGAUGCUCCACAGGCCGCAGGCGCGCCACCACCACCUCAUCAGGCUGGCCAGGCUGGGGCAUUUGACAUAGAGCAGUAUUUACGGCAUUUGGUUCGCCAGCAGGCGGCCAACCACCGAGCACAUGUACGGACCCAUGACUGUCUGUACCAGAUGAGCCUUAGCAUGCAGAGCCAGGGCUUCGCUUCUUUUUCAUGCCCUACUCCAGACCAGUUCAGGGCAGAGGUAGCAUGGCCCGGAGAUUGGCCCGAGGCCCAAGCAGGAGAGGCACCCCCAGAAGCUCCCGGCGAUGGAGAAGAAGCCCACGAGGAUGAGGAGAUGGCCGAUUUGCUUGACUUCUUGGGAGGGAGUGGAGACACGUGACUGGGAGAUCCCCAGAUUCAUGUUUUCUUUCAUAUUUCUUUUGUCAUUCUUAUUCUAUGUUAUUGUUUUGACUUGAAAGACUAAUGUUUGUUUUUGUUGUUUCGAUUAUCAUUUGUACAGCGCAUACAUUUUUGUUUAGAUUGGUGCGUUAGUAUUUAUAUAUCAUUACUAUCGAUGAUGUUUGAAAUUCUGGAACCAUGUAGAGUUCUUCGUUUAGGAACAUCGCCCAAAAGUAUAUAUGUAAAAUAAACAAAAAAAUCAUAAUAAAAAUAAAAAUAGGAAAGAAAAGAAAAUGAAAUGGAAAAGAGAACAAAAGGGAAAGAAGAGGGCAAGUAAAGAAAAAGAGAGCAAAUAAGAAAAAAGAAGAAGGCAAGUAAGGAAAAAGGUGGAAAAAGAGAAAAUAAGUUGUCUAGCUAAAAAACGACAUGCUUUUGAAAAGAGACGAUUUCCAACUUUUCUUUGAAAAAAAUUCAUUGAUCAUAACCAAUUUUUGGAAAAUGUGUCUACACCUGAAGGGUGAAUGCUGUGAAAUUUCCCCGGAUGCCCGAAAUGGACCCGGAUGAACGCACAAAUUGAUAAAAGAACAUAUUUUGGAAACAUUGGGUUGAUUAAAAUAGAGGAAAUGAAUCCUGAGCCCUAGCAUCACAUGACCAUAAAAAUUUGACACUUGAGUGUCCGCAUAGGUGCAUGCAUGACCAGUUUUGCAUAAAGUUUCCAAAUCAUCAUUUUUGCAUUUUGUGUCAUGGAAAUAAUGUGAGGCAUCCCUUUUAUCCUUGAGCCAAACCAAACUCCGACAUGUAUCAUGUCUAGCCAUUCUACAAACCUUGAGCCAAAAUCCUGACUCACCAUAAUCCUUACCCUCGAAAGCAAAAAGGAAGAGAAGGAAAAUUCCCAAUCAAAGAAUGGGAGAAAGCAAAAAGGAAGAGAAGGAAAAUUCCCAAUCAAAGAAUGGGAGAAAGCAAAAAGAAAAGAAAGGAAAUUCCCAAUCAAAGAAUGGGAGAAAGCAAAAAGAAAAGAAAGAAAAUUCCCAAUCAAAGAAUGGGAGAAAGAAAAAAAAAAAAGAAGAAAAGAAGGAAAGAAAGCUCCUGAUCAAGGAUCGAAAGAAAACAGAAGAAAUGUGCAGAGAGGUCUUUGGACCGGACAAUAUCUGAACAAUACAGAAUUGUCACCAAAUGAACAAAAAAGGAAGGAAAGGAAACCACGACCUAAAAUGGUCUUCUCCCUUUAAUUACCAACCAAAAUCCCGUGCGCUAGCGACCCUUUUUUUUCUCGCCCCGCACUAAACAAAAAACAGAAAAAGAAAAAGCCAGGAAAAUCAAAAGCCAAAAACACACAAAAGCCGAAAGAAGAAACCACCAAAAGAACCCAUUCCCAAGGGAAGCCCUAUUGAUCCAUGAUCACGCAUGUAAUUUUUGAUUUGAUAGGAAAUAAUUUGCAAAGUCAAGUCAUGACAUAUCUAUGGUUCGGAAUUAGGAUAAAACACUUACCUGUGCGAGAUUGAUACACUUUGAGUGGAUUUCUUCUAUUUUUGUUGAACCCAGUGUUUCCUCUAAAUGGUCAUUUAGAAACGAAAUGCUAACAUCCAAAAUCUCAUUUAUGGUUAUGGGAGAUUUCAUCAGCAGACUCUCCUUCCCCGAUAGACGCAUUGUUUUUCACUCAAAAAAGCAUAUGCUGCUCUAAAUCAGUUGGAAUAUUUGUCUCUUUGCUAAAGCAUGUUUGCAUUUUAGUGGAGAAAACACCGAGACUUUUUCAAGUCUCACAAGUUAUCCAGAACUACGUAGGUCUGAGUUCCUCAUUGGAGGAUACGUAGGAGCAAGAGCUUUGCUUUUGUCGGCCGCCCCAUAAUCUUUGUCAUACUGACCCUGAGGUCAUGUGACGUGCACCCUUGUAUCAUCCAGAGGCGGCGGGCCCGAUGAUAUGCGGAGAUACCUUACGGUUAUUCGCACCCUUUUGUCAUCCAGAGGCGGCGGGCCCGAUGACAAGCAGAGACCAAGUUUGGUCAUUCUGCACCCUUGUAUCAUCCAGAGGCGGCGGGCCCGAUGAUACGCGGAGAUACCUUACGGUUAUUCGCACCUUUUUGUCAUCCAGAGGCGGCGGGCCCGAUGACAAGCAGAGACCAAGUUUGGUCAUUCUGCACCCUUGUAUCAUCCAGAGGCGGCGGGCCCGAUGAUACGCGGAAAUACCCGAGUGGUUAUCCGUAUAAACUUUCUUUUGCUAUCUGUAAGACAGAACGCUUGAUAGCAUGCAGAGACUGACAUAGUCUUCUGCACCUUUUGUUCCUCCGGGAACAACAAGUCAUUUACAUGCGGAAAUUUCAUGGUCGCCCGCGACUCUCGUCAACCGAGAGAAGCCAAAUUAGUGUCAUACACUAAUUUUCGGGGACCUUUGCUUGAUGACAUGCGACCAUUCUUUGGUCCUUGUGAGAUGCUUGGCAUCCAUCAUUAGGCAAUUUGUGAAAUUCUAGGAACGACAAGUCAUGGUCACCCGCGACUCUCGUCAACCGAGAGGAGCGAAAUUAGUGUCAUACACUGAUUUUCGGGGACCUUUGCUUGAUGACAUGCGACCAUUCUUUGGUCCUUGUGAGGUGCUUGGCACCCAUCAUUAGGCAAUUUGUGAAAUUUUGGGAACAACAAGUCAUUUGCAUAUGGAGAUUUUAUGGUCCCCCGCGACUCUCGCCAAAUCGAGAGGAACGAAAUUAGUGUCUUAUCUUUACUUUCCUUUUAUCUCCAAUAAAAGACAAGUAAAGAGGGGCAACUGUCAUACCCUAAUUUCGUCCGGGGACCUUUGCUCGAUGACGUGCGACCAUUCUUUGGUCCUCAUGAGGUGCUUGGCACCCAUCAUUAGGCAAUUUGUGAAAUUUCAGGACAUGCCGAAAAACCAAAAAAAUAUUGAUGCACAAUCCGUAAGUUUCCGUGACACACCGGAAAUCAAAUGGAAGCAUCAUUGCAUAAUUAAGUGAGGUUCCGUAACAUUCCGUAAGUCAAAAAGGGGAUGAUUAUGUAAUCCGCAAGGUUCCGUAACAUUACGGAAAGAAAACAAGUAUCGUUACGAAAUUCGUAAGUUUCUGUAACUUUACGAAAAAAGAAUCACCAAAAAACAGCAGAGGGGGGUGUACUUAGUAAAAAUGGGGGUGCAAAUAGCACCCAGGCCCACUUGGGCCCUCUCGAACAUUCCUCCAGAAGGCGGUUGCUUCUGGAGGAAGCAACCCUGCUCGCCUGGGCGAGCUGAGCUCGCCUGGGCGAGCUGGGCGGCAACCACCUCCCCUAUUUUGCUAUAAAUAGGGGAGGAAGUGAAGAAGGAAGGGGUUCAGCCCCUUAGGCACUUCUCUCUCUUUCGAAUUUGCUUGGAAAAAUUAUUUCCGUGAAGAAAAUCUAAGCCGAGGCGCUUCCGAAACGUUUCCGUAACGUUUUCCGUGAGGAAUCUCGCAAACGUUUCAACCGUUCUUCGACGUUCUUCAUUCGUUCUUCAUCGUUCUUCGAUCUUCAACGGGUAAGUACCUCGAACCAAGCUUUUCGAUUCAUUCUAUGUACCCGUAGUGGUCCACAUUGUGUUUCGUGCAUUUUUUUGUUUACUUUUUAUACCCCCUGUUGACGUGCUUAAGCCAUUUUACUUAAGUCAUUUCUCGCUUAACUUAAAAAUAAAAUAAAUUUCCACCGAACGUUUGAAUUGUGUUAUCCAUUAACUUCGGUUAAAAUAAAUUCCGACCGUUCGGUCGUGCCGUAACCACGUUGGAAAUCAAAAAGAGGUAAAAAAUAAUAUAAUAAUCAAAAAGACAUCUUUUAGUAAAAUAAAGCGGAAAAUCAAUCGGACGUUUUCUCUUUGGGAUUUCUCAUUCUUAAUCGAAUUGAUUAAUAACUAAAGUGAAACUAAGGCUAAAAUCAACUCGCCUAGUCAAGCUCGUCCACAAAAAUAGGCUUUGGAAGUUUGUCAUUUCAAUUUCUCACUAAGUAAAAUGGAUCAUUUUUAAGGUCCAACGCCUUAAAAUGAUCACCUCUUAAAGUAAACAAGAAUCACUUGAUAAAAAAGAACUACGUAGGUCUGAUUUUCUCAUCCCAAAUUGAGGAAUACGUAGGAGCAAAGGGAAACACCCUUGUCGACCACAAAAAGAGAAAAUAUAAAAAGGGUAUAAAGGAUAUAGAGACAUAAAAAGGGAACAUAAAAAAUCAAAGUCAUGUUUGCACAUUCGAUUAAAGGCUGCCGUCCCUUGGGGCGGACGUGUGGGGUGCUAAUACCUUCCCCGUGCGUAAAUACAACUCCCGAACCUUUCACUAAAAAGUUCGUAGAUCGCGUCUUUUCCGGUUUUUCCGACGUUUUCCUCAAAUAAACGUUGGUGGCGACUCCGCGCGUACUCCUUUCGUGGAACACGCAUCCCGCGAGUCUCGCGUCGCCCUCCCGCCGAAGGGUAGGUUGCGACACGUAUGAACAGAUUAAACAAGUAAAUAACACAAGUGAAUUGUUAACCCAGUUCGGUGCAACGUCACCUACAUCUGGGGGCUACCAAGCCAGGGAGGAAAUCCACUAAAAUAGUAUUAGUUCGAAGAUCUAACAGCCACUGUAUACAACCUUCUCACCUAACCACUACCCGUGCAACUUCUACCUAAGAGCCACUCUUAGAUAAGAGAACCCCUCUCACUCCCUCUCAAUCACUCACCCGUGUUUACAAACAAAUCAAAGAUACACCAGAGAUUGCUCUCUGAAAAAUAGAGAUCAACUCUACACACUCAGGUCCAACACUUGAUGUUAGGGUAGCAUCAAGGUGGCUCACAAAACACUCAAGUCCCAAAACUCACAAAAUAACUCUUCAAUCUCGGACUUGGUAGAAAACUCGUGCAGCCUUCAUGUUUAUAUAGCAGUGUGCGUAUCUGGACUGCAACAACUUGCGCUGGAUAAGAUCUAUCAUUCUCCUGAAGAAUCUGCACUUAAAGAUCUAAAAGAUAAAGUUUGAUCUUUUAGUUUUUAUCUUUAAUCUUUAAUCCCUGAACGAACUAUUCAAGUUUGUAAUUCGAAAUUUAAUUAUCUUUUAAUUCGUUCCUAAAGAUAGAUCGCCUAAUCUGUUGCUGACUGCACAUUAAUCUGUUAAAGGUAUAACAGAUUUAUGUGUCCAGUAUUUUCGGGCAGGAUGUCCUGGACAUUGUAUCCGACAUCGUGGAUCCUGCAGCUUCAAUUCUUCAUUUGACAUUUUAUCUUGCCUUGUGCAUUGUGUAGCCCGAUCUGAUUCCUUGACAUAAUGUUAGACAUCAUGUGCAGCAACUCCAGCUUUCCUUCAUUGUCUAAGUGCUUAUGUUUUAACAAAAUUUUAGCCAAUCUUUUAAAACUCAGUAAAGCUAAGCACUAACAGAUUUUGUAAACUACACUGUAAUUUACAAAACAAAAGUUGAAAGGAAAGAUAUUGAGCUGGUAGACGAGGAAGAAACACAGAUUGGUGCUGAUUGUUCUGGUGCAACCUCUAAUAAAUCUGAGAUUUAUAAGGAGGAAGCACAGAAUGCAACACAGAAGCAUAAACCAAAAAGGGUGGAGAGUGUCAAUGCUGAUGCAGAAGCCUUUGGUGAUCACUGGGAAAUUUAGAUUGCUUUAUGCAUUCUGAAGCUGAAGCACUAAAACAUAUGAAGAAAAGAGAUACAGGCCAUCAAAGUGUGUCAUUGGAGAAUAAGACAGGAGAUUCAACUGUGCUGAAGAUAGGAGAUUCGGCUAAAGUUGUGAUAAAACAAGACAUGAAGGGAAGAAAGCAUAAAUAUGGGUUUAACAAUAAUAAAUGUGAGAAGACAGAGAAGAAAAGGGUGGUGGAUGAUGAAACUGGCGACAAACAUGAGUUGUAUGAAGUCCUAAGGAUACCAUCUAAAAGAAAAUACCGAUGCCUCAAUCAGAGAAAAAUGUAGCUGUCACUUACUUGCUUUGGUGACCUCUGUCUCUGCAGAAAAUUACAUUACACGAUGUUAAUCAAUUCUCCUUCAUCAUGAUCAUUUCGAUUAGCAUGAACGUCGUCAGCUUCUUCUUCUCUGACAACGUUAGGAGUGAUUUGAGCGGUCAAAGGACUAACAUAGGUGUCCAUGUAUGAAUCAUCAUCUUCUACAUUAACACCAAUUGUUUUUCCCUGCAGAACCACGCACCACCUUUCAUCACAAGGGUCUUGCACGUAAAAUACAUGUCUAGCUUGUUCUGCCAUGAUGCUUCUAGACGAUAUAGAUUCUUUGUAUACCCUUUUAAGAUCUUCAUGUAUUGCUCAACCGGGUACAUCCAUCGUAGAUAAACAGGACCACAACAUUUGAUUUCUCUGACCAGAUGCAUAAUCAAGUGAAUCAUGAUGUCAAAGAAAGCAGGGGGAAAAUACAUCUCCAACUGGCACAGUAUAAUUGUGGCCUCAUUUUCCAACUCAUCAAACUUGACUGAAUCAAUGACUUUGCUACAUAUAGCAUGGAAGAAAAAGCACAGGCGAGUUAUCGCUAACCUGACUUUGUUUGGCAAGAUGUCUCGUAUAGCCACGGCUAACAAUUGUUGCAUCAGCACGUGACAAUCGUGAGACUUUAACCCUACAAGCUUAAGCUCCUUCAACUGCACAAGGCUCUUAAUAUUUGAAGAGUAUCCUUGUGGAACCUUCACCUGACGAAGACACUGACAAAAACUUAUCUUCUCCUUCUUGGACAAAGUAUGGCAGGCUGGGGGCAAGUAAAUUUUCUUCCCAUCAUACCUUGGAUGCAAUUGUGAUUGUAUACCCAUAUCAGGUAGAUCUUGACGGGUAUUCAAGCCAUCCUUCGUCUUGCCUUGAAUGUUAAGGAGCGUCCCAACCACACUGUCACAAACAUUUUUCUCCACAUGCAUAACAUCAAUACAAUGUCUAACGUCAAGAUCACACCAGUACGGAAGAUCAAAGAAAAUGGACCUCUUCUUCCAUAUGCAACUCUGACUUUUAUCCUUCUUUUGGGUCUUCCCAAAUACAGUAUUCAGGUGUUGAACCCGCUGAUAUACCUGCUCACUAGUCAACAGUAUCGGCGCAAUAUCAUGCUCUUGACUUCCAUUAAAAGCUUUUUUCAGUCGUCUGUAAGGAUGAUUGGGAGUUAGAAAGCGCCGAUGCCUACUGUAGACUGUUUUUCUCC